GCCCCAAACCUAAAGUUCUGCAUGUAGUUUCCUCAUAGAUUUCCUAGAGCUUUAGUAUGUUACAAAUUCUUAACACUUCAACCUAGAAGACAGAAUAUUUUUAUAAACAACAAAUACACCAGGCUGAGUCAGUAAACAAUUUACAGCUAUGUCUCAUGGGAUAUUUGCUAAUGUAUGUUUUCUAAAUAUGGGUAAUUUAGAGCUCAUAUAUGCCAUUAUCUGGUGAAACAAUUUGCAUUGAAUCUAAUGUAACCUAAUGUUUUUAAUGUACUUUUUUUCUAAAUUCCCAAGAGAUACGAUUACAGCAAACUGCACAGUGAAGAAAGCUUUCAUUUUUCCUGUGCAAUGGUUUGAUUUUUCACAUGUCAGCUGGAAUGAAAAUUAGAUUCACGGACAGCUCUACACCUGAUGACUCUGACAAGAAAACCCCAAUGAAGUCAUGGUGAGAUGUGAGCUAUGUAAUUACAGAUGACUAAUUAUAUGGAUGCCAUAUUGUAAAUAAAGCAUGACAAAUGGAGACAUCGACCCAGUGAAUAAACUUGCAUCCUUCAUACUUAAAGAUGUGGCUACUGUUGCUGAUUUACCAGAAGAAAUCAUAUUAAACUUUUCCCCGGAGACACAGAACUGCAAAACUUCAUUUUCACAGAAACCCCUGAGGUGUGUUUGAUGUGUGGGUGAUAAAUGCAUGGAACUGUUCAGAUUGGACAAAAGCCAUUAUGAAGAAAUGAAGAGAUACUGUGCAGCAGUCCCCCAGCUGGUUGCAGGUGUUGGGAAACAGCAAGAAUUACAUUUCUUGAGAGUGAGGAGCUCACUCUGGAUUGCAGUAGCUUAUCUUCUCAUUGUAAAAACAGAGGAGAAGCAGAUGAGACAUACCUGAAUAAAAUCAACUGUGAUCCAACAGAAAUAGAAGUGGCAGGUGCAGAGUGCGGUAACGAGGGAAAUGGCAGAGAAGUCCUUGUGUGAAGCUGAGUUUCUGAAAAGGACCAGCAGAAGAAUGAGAGCUUGAGUGACUUUAGAGUAUGAGCCGGCUGCAGAGAGCCGGAUCCAAGGCAGAAAGCUCUUGCAAAGGUCAGCAUGGGAGAAGAUGAGCUUUGAGUUCAAGUUGGGGAUGAAUUUGAGUUUUUUCCUUCUGAACCUAUGUAAUUUGGGGACCCAGUAUGGUUUAAUUGCAAAAAAAAUUCCUUGCAAUUAUUGACAUGACAGAGCUAGAUACUUGAAAUCAUAAAUAGUAGUAUGAACUUUAUGUGAACAAAGCUUAAUUGUCUUUUAAGAAAU
rnacentral:lncRNA from 1 species